CUCGAAGCUAUUCUGUGCGCGAUGUUACUGCGGCCGACUCCAGUCACACUUUGCGCCAACACCGCUACCGAGCUCGCGUGAAGCCAGUCCACUUUGAAAAUAGAACCAUCCUGUAUAUUAAUUGAUUCCGUUCAAUUACUCUGUGUGUUAAGGGAAGAUCAUGGCAGCCGAAGCAGGUCCCGCUCAACCAGGGUUGGCCCCACCGGAGGCAGAGACUGGACCCGAUGGAGAGAUCAUUGGAGGACCUCGCACCCCUCAGCAAAUUGCUGCUCAGAGGAGGUUGCAGCAGACUCAAGCUCAGGUCGAUGAGGUGGUGGACAUAAUGAAGACAAAUAUGGACAAGGUGCUUGAUCGAGAUGUGAAGUUAUCGGAACUGGAUGACAGAGCAGAUGCGCUACAGUACGGAGCAUCACAGUUCGAACAGCAAGCGAAGAGCUUGAAGAACAAAUUCUGGCUACAAAAUCUUAAGAUGAUGAUAAUAAUGGGUGUGAUUGGGAUCGUCAUAAUAGGCCUACUAUUUGGUGAUAACAUUAAACAAAUGUUUGGUUAGUUCGGUACCGAAACUCGUCGCCUAUUCCGGGGCCGGCGAUCGUAGCAACUGGUAACAGUACCGUGGCAGCCAACACUGGCCAUUGAAAAUAUAUGUAAUUACAUAAUUCACUCGUCGCAUCCGUUGGGUUCCACUUCAAAUGAGAAGCUGAUUUAUAAUAUAAUAUUUCAUUAUUUAUCUAAAUAUAUACGUAUAAUAAAAUUGUAACAAUUAGACUCUAAACUAUAAUAAAAAGGAACGAAAUAUAACACAAUAUACGGCUGUUUUUUGAAUAAUACAAUUAUUCAAAAUUUUAACAUUAUUUAGAUUGUAAAAAUAAUUAUUCGAAUAUAAUUAUUGAGUUAUUCAAUUAUGAUGCUUAAAGUUGUCAAAUAUAUUGUAAACGUGAGUGAUUAUUAAAUAAUUAUAUAUUAAAAUAAUAAUUUAUCCUUAUACAAGGAUUUAGAUAAACGACUCUUAGUAACAAAAGAUGUUGCUUUUUUCAUAGUUGACAAAAUUAUUAAAAUUAAAAUAUUAAAAUUAAAUGUGGCUGUCUAGAAAAUUUAUUUGCGUGCCUUGUAGAUACUAUCUAUAAUUCUGAUUCUAUGUAUUUCAUAUGUUGUCUAUUUGCUCAUAAUUAUACUAUAUAUUAAUAUUAUAUCUAGUUGUACUUCUGUCAGCUAAAAGCUCACAAAAUUGUAAUCGGAUUCAUCCAAGUGUAGUGGAAUCUUUCUGAUAUUGUAAAAUAGUUCUUAAACACAUAAUAUUUAUCUAUAUUCCUAGUAAUAUACAUUUGGAAUUUUCCUCAUUGAAUUGUAUGACACCAAAUAAAACAGCAAUCGUAGAAAUAGGGGCGGAAUUGAAUUGACACUAGUAAGGCAAAUAAUGAUUAUACAAUUACAUUAUUUUUGCUUAUUUUAUAGUUUAAAUUACAAGUCUUAUGAAUAGAAUUAUUGUAAUAAUAAAAUUAAUGAUUAUAUAAUUAUUUUAAAAGUCCAAUAGUAUUCAUAGCGUCUUAGAAGUCAAUUAUUUGCAAUUAACACUAUGCAAUUUAUAUUUUAGCGGCUUAAAGAAGUCAAUUAAAAUUAAAAUUAUUUAUUAAAAUGCUAUAUUUUAUUAGACAAUGAUUUGUUGGACAGCGAUUACAAUCAAAAUUAUUUACCGCAGGGUCUACAUAUUUUAAACGUAUUUUAGACUGAAGGAGUUUAAAAUUCUGUAAGUGCUUACAGUUUUAGCGUGCCAUGCAUGCAUUCUUAUUUUGGCAGGUUGUUAACGAAAUAAUUAUUUGCAUCCACAAAACAAUGGCCUAUAUUUAAAUACUAAGAGUAUUCGUACACGCAGUCGACUAAGGGAUAUGAUGAAAUGAUGAGGUUGUAUUUUCUCUGUAGGUACAAUGUGAAAUUGUAAGCAAUUACAAACCAAGGUGCCACUGACAAUAUUAGUUCUUUUAUAUAAACGAGUGUGAUAAUUAAAUGAGAAUUUGAAUUAUAUAAAUAUAAUAAUUUGACUAUUCGGUGUUGUGCUAAUCGCUUGUCUUUUCAAUGUAGUUAAUUAUAGUUACUUAACUGCAAGACUUAAGAGGGAAGACAUGAGACAAAAUUCUAUUAUACACACAGUAGAAAAUUAUAUUCUAUCUAUUUCAUAGUGUAUCUCAUAGGAUAUCUUAUAGCAUUCCUUGUAAUGUGGUAUACAAACUCUUCAUGAUAAAACCUCAAUGCCCCAACGGGUUGUGAUGUUGCUCUCUAUUUACGUUGCCAACAUAAAAGAAACAUUAAAUGUUUUGAUUGUUAUAUGUAACGCAAGCAUUGAGCAACCCUAUAUCUUAUUUGCAAAUUAUAUUAUUAUAUUUAUUCCUAUUUCUUGUUAUUAAAAAAUCAACUCAACUGUUGCAUUCUGUUGCAACUAUAAAAUUGUAUCUAUUAAAAUAAAAUAAUUAUUCAAAAAUUUAAAAUAAUAAUUAUUCAAUUAAUAUUUAAUGACACAAUUAUUUAUUUAUUCAAGAAUUGAAUGUUGUAGUGUAUUAAGAUUACGAUUAUUUAUUUAAAUUAUUUUAUUCAAAAUACAUUUUACGAAUUUGGCGUGUUGUAAUAAUUAUAAUUAAAUUCACAGAUUAUACCAUUAUAAAUGUUGUAAUAAUUGAAAAUCUCUAAUGUACAUGGAAUUAUUGAUUAUAUAAAAUGUGAUGAAUAUAUACAGUGAAUCAUAAAUCA